UCACUCAUUCAUGCUGUGGUGACCCAUAACAUCAAAACACAAAAGAGACAAAGCGUUGUACUCAUCAGAUGCAGAUGCCAGAGGAAAGAGGCACAAUAGGCACGUGCCUAGGGGCACCUACAAAUUAAAAUGUUGCUGCUCCCGGGUCCUGGCAGAGGAUGGGGCUGGCUGAGGGUGAAAAAGUCCUAUGAGCCCUGCUGGAGCUCUCCUCACUCAACCCAACAGACAGAGUCACCUCCCAGUGGGGCUGGUAGAGCGACUGGCAUAAAUAGGCGUAAGUGUGGGGGAGGUGCCUCGCCGUGUGAGUAAAAGUUCUGACGAUUGACUCUGUUAUGGCCUUGGAUGUUGACCUCAGACAUGGCCCUGUAAUUGUACUGUUGUACGGACGGUGUGGAAGAAGGCAGAAAGCUAAGGACUGUUCGUUUCUGCUUAGAUGGAUGUCCAGGCGGCUCAGAUCCACUUCUUCCAGCUUCUCCUCCGGCUGAGGUUCCUGGACGAUUCCUCUGCAAGUAC